GGGGCUGAUUCUGGAUUCGACGGGAUUUGCGAAACCCAAGGUGCAUGCCGAGGGGCGGUUUGCCUCGUAAAAAGCCGCAAAAAAAUAGUCGCAAACGACGAAACCUACGCUUUAGCAGCUUAAUAACCUGCUUAGAGCCCUCUCUCCCUAGCCUCCGCUCUUAGGACGGGGAUCAAGAGAGGUCAAACCCAAAAGAGAUCGCGCGGAUGCCCUGCCUGGGGUUGAAGCGUUAAAACGAAUCAGGCUAGUCUGGUAGUGGCGUGUCCGUCCGCAGGUGCCAGGCGAAUGUAAAGACUGACUAAGCAUGUAGUACCGAGGAUGUAGGAAUUUCGGACGCGGGUUCAACUCCCGCCAGCUCCACCA
rnacentral:tmRNA from 1 species